rnacentral:rRNA from 2 species
UACGUAGGGGGCAAGCGUUGUCCGGAAUCACUGGGCGUAAAGCGCGCGCAGGCGGUCUCUCACGUCCGGGGUGAAAGCCCAGAGCUCAACUCUGGGAUUGCCUUGGAUACGGGGAGACUUGAGGAUCGGAGAGGCAAGGGGAAUUCCACGUGUAGCGGUGAAAUGCGUAGAGAUGUGGAGGAACACCUGUGGCGAAGGCGCCUUGCUGGCCGAUUUCUGACGCUGAGGCGCGAAAGCGUGGGGAGCAAACAGG